rnacentral:rRNA from 1 species
AAACUUAAAGGAAUUGACGGGACCCCGCACAAGCGGUGGAUUAUGUUGUUUAAUUUCGACGCAACGCGAAGAACCUUACCAGGCCUUGACAUACUCGGCAAAGCUCUAGAGAUAGAGUGGAGGUUAUCCGGGAUACAGGUGGUGCAUGGUUGUCGUCAGCUCGUGUCGUGAGAUGUUGGGUUAAGUCCCGCAACGAGCGCAACCCUUGUCUUUAGUUACCAUCAUUCAGUUGGGGACUCUAGAGAGACUGCCGGUGAUAAACCGGAGGAAGGUGGGGAUGACGUCAAAUCAUCAUGCCCCUUAUGGCCUGGGCUACAAACGUAAUACAAUGGCCGUUACAACGGGAAGCGAAGGAGCAAUCCGGAGCAAAUCCCUUAAAGGCGGUCCCAGUUCAGAUUGUGGGCUGAAACUCGCCCACAUGAAGGCGGAAUUGCUAGUAAUUGCAGAUCAGCAUGCUGCAGUGAAUACGUUCCCGGGCCUU